AGUUUUUCGCCGUCGAGGAGUUCCUGCCGAGCGGGCUCACCCCGCCCGGUUGCCAUUAGUUACCCGGACGCACCUCCCACCCCACCGGAAAAGGAAAGAAGCUGAAGCAGAAAGGCUAAAAGCAACUUGCCCCCAGGGUCCUGAUAAGUUGGCAAAUUGGGAAUUAGACCCAGAUCUGCCUGACACCAGAGUCUGAGCCUUUGAACACAGCCUGUCUUUCCUGUGAAAACCAGACAGCACCCGCUCUCAUACUACUUCUGGCCAGGCUGGGUAGCUCACACCUGUAAUCCUAGCACUUUGGGAGGCCAAGGUGGGGUGGAGGCUUGAGUCCACGGGUUUGAGACCAGCCUGGGCAACAUGGCAAAACCCCAUCUCUAC
rnacentral:antisense_RNA from 1 species